UACGGAGGGUGCAAGCGUUACUCGGAAUUACUGGGCGUAAAGCGCAUGUAGGUGGUUUGCUAAGUCUGAUGUGAAAUCCCUGGACCCAAUCCAGGAAGGGCAUUGGAUACUGGCAGGCUAGAGUGCAGGAGAGGUGAGCGGAAUUCCAGGUGUAGAGGUGAAAUUCGUAGAUAUCUGGAGGAACAACAGAGGCGAAGGCGGCUCACUGGACUGUAACUGACACUGAGAUGCGAAAGCGUGGGGAGCAAACAGG
rnacentral:rRNA from 1 species